AUAAGUAGGGGGCAAGCGUUAUCCGGAUUUACUGGGUGUAAAGGCAGCGUAGACGGCAAAGCAAGUCUGAAGUGAAAGCCCCGGGCUCAACCCGGGACUUGCUUUGGAAACUGUUUAGCUGGAGUGAAGGAGCGGUAAGCGGACUUACUAGUGUAGCGGUGACAUGCGUAGAUAUUAGGAAGAACACCAGUGGCGAAGGCGGCCUGCUGGACGACAACUGACGCUGAGGCGCGAAAGCGUGGGGAGCAAACAGGAUUAGAUACCCUGGUAGUCCACGCUGUAAACGAUGAAUACUAGGUGUGGGGGGACUGACCCCCUCCGUGCCGCAGUUAACACAAUAAGUAUUCCACCUGGGGAGUACGAUCGCAAGAUUGAAACUCAAAGGAAUUGACGGGG
rnacentral:rRNA from 1 species